rnacentral:rRNA from 1 species
UACGUAGGGGGUGAGCGUUGUCCGGAUUUAUUGGGCGUAAAGAGCUCGUAGGCGGUUUGGCAAGUCGGGUGUGAAAACUCCGGGCUCAACUCGGAGACGCCACUCGAUACUGCCAUGACUCGAGUCCGGUAGGGGAGUGCGGAAUUCCUGGUGUAGCGGUGAAAUGCGCAGAUAUCAGGAGGAACACCGGUGGCGAAGGCGGCACUCUGGGCCGGAACUGACGCUGAGGAGCGAAAGCGUGGGGAGCGAACAGG